rnacentral:rRNA from 1 species
AUGGACAAAAGCAAUACUUCUGGCUGUGCUGAGGACACUAUUGAGACUCGGAGUUAUGCAAACUCUAGCCUGAACCCUGAGGCCCUUAAGCAUCAAAGUUUUCCUUUUCCGUACACAUCCCUGUCGGGGGAAAGGAAAAAUUUCAAAAGGGCAGCUAACAGGGGAAGGAAAGGCUCCCGAGUAUUGUCAAGUAGAACUUAUCCUUUGAAGUCAUCUGAGAGUACUGUCAGGGUUCUUCGUUCUAGAUCAGUUGCAGAUAAGUCACCUAGUGACGCUGUGCAAACUCCAACAGAAAGAGCCGCAAAGAAGCCACCUAGCGACUCUGUGGACACUCUAGUAAAACCAGCUGCUAAAAGAAUAAAGAGGGAUAGACCCACAAAGGGUGGUCCGGACGAUGAGUUAUCGAAAAUUCGUAAGCGAAUUAGAUACAUUUUGAAUCGGAUGAACUAUCACCAAAGUUUUCUUGAAGCAUAUGCCAGUGAAGGCUGGAAAAAUCAAAGUUUGGAAAAGAUAAGGCCUGAGAAGGAGCUUGAACGAGCCAAGGUGGAGAUCGUGCGGUGCAAAUUAAGAAUACGAGAAGCUUUCCAGAAUCUUGAUCAUCUUCUAACUGUGGGGAAGCUUGAGGAAUCUUUGUUUGAUUCUGAAGGAAAGAUAUCUUCUGAUGAUAUUGUUUGUGCCACUUGUAGUUUGCAAGAAGCUACAUUUAAUAAUGACAUCAUUCUCUGCGACGGAGCCUGCGACAGAGGGUUCCACCAGAAUUGUCUAAACCCUCCUUUACUGACUAAAGAUAUCCCUGAGGGAGAGGAAGGAUGGCUUUGCCCUGCAUGUGAUUGCAAGAUAGACUGUAUAGAAUUAAUAAAUGAACUCCAAGGGACAGAUCUUGACAUUAAUGACUCUUGGGAGAAAGUUUUUCCUGAGGCAGCUGCUGUGGCACACGGGCCUAUGCAAAAUGAUGUAGCUGAUCUUCCAUCAGACGAUUCAGAAGAUGAUGACUUCGACCCCAAUAUAUCCGAAGAACAUGUGGCUGGUCACGCAGAAGGAUCAUCAGAAGAGGAUGGGGAUGAAGGUUCAGACUCUGAUGACUCAAAUUUCAUGACCUCUUCUGACAAUUCAGAACACGUGAAGGAGAAAGUGAAAGUUGAUGACCUUGGAUUACCUUCUGAGGACUCGGAGGAUGAUGACUAUGAUCCAGCAGGUCCUGAUUCAGAUAAAGAUAUCGAAGAGAAGCAAGAUGAGUCAGACUUCACAUCGGACUCUGAUGAGUUCUGUGCUGAGAUUACGAAGUCUUGUAGUAAGGAUGAAGUUUCGUCUGGUCCUAAGGUUGGAGGUCGUACUAAUGACUUGGAAGGGGCCCCUGUUCGGCCAAACACAUCAAUGUCACAUAGCAAGGAUCUUGAGAUCGACCCAGAUGUGAUUUUACCGUCUACAAAACGGCAGGUUCAACGGUUGGACUACAAAAAACUUUAUGAUGAUACUUAUGGGGAAGCACCAUCUGAAUCAAGCGAUGGUGAUGAGUGGUCUGGGAAGAGCACACUCAAAGAAGACAACGAAGAACGAAAUGAAGUGGAUUCAUUUGCACGCAAAAGCUCCAGGGGAACGCGAGAGGUGCAUCCUGACGGUUUUCAUGGUUUAGUAAAUGAUCAACAUGCAGGGGGGCUUACCUCUGACGGCAGCAAUAGUAAAGCUAAGAAAAGGCAUUUUGGUCCAGUAAUUAAUGAGAGGCUAAAUCAGUAUUUCACAACAGACCAAUACCCUAGCCGUGCUGUUAAAGAAAGCUUGGCGCAAGAAUUAGGGCUGACAUUCCGUCAGGUUAACAAAUGGUUUGAAAGUACACGUCACGCAAGAGCAGCUGCUAUGAAAAAUGGCAGUCAGCUAGAAAAGCAGAGCAACAGUAGGAAGAAGAAGAGCUCAGACGCAACUCACAUGGAAGUUAAAGAUCAACCUAAUGCAUGUAAAGAGGAAGGUAUCAGACAACAUAGUCCAGUGAAACAAGACACUGAUGGCGGGCAGAGAACUCAUGUGCCUCCAGAAAGCAGCCAAAGCUAUACUAAAACCCCGGGAUUGGUAGGCUGUCCAAAAAGUGAGUCCAGAGAGAACCAUGAAAAGAAUACCUCCUCGAAAUAUGUUGGAAUGUCAACAGAUGGCUCUGCAGAGGAUCAGAUUCUGGGGCUAGAACCUGAAGAUGAAAGUUCAGACUCUGAUGACCUGAAUUUUAUCACCCGUUCUGGAAAUUCAGAACCUUUGAAAAAUAGAGAGAAAGUUGAUGACCUUGGAUUACCUUCUGCAUACUCUGAGGAUGAUGACUAUGAUUCUGACGAAGUUAUUGAAAUGAUGCAAUCAAGUUCAGAUGAAUCAAAUUUCACCACCUCUUCUGACAAUCCAGAAGAUGUGAAGGAGAAAGUUGAUGGCCUUGGAUUACCUUCCGAGGACUCUGAGGACGAUGAUUAUGAUCCAGCAGGUCCUGGUUCUGAUGAAGAUAUUGGAAAGAAGCAGUCAAGUUCAGAGAAGUCACACUCUUCUGACAAAUCAGAAAAUAGGAAGACGAAAAGGAAAGUUGAUGACCUCGGAUUACCUUCUGAGGACUCAGAGGAUGAUGACUAUGAUCCAGCAAGUCCUGAUUCAGAUAAAGAUAUCGAAGAGAAGCAAGAUGAGUCAGACUUCUCAUCUGACUCUGAUGAUUUCUGUGUUGAGAUUGCUAAAUCUUGUUCUGGCCAGGAGGGAGUUCCAUCAGGAGCUAAGGUUGGUGGAGACCGUACCGAUGACUUGGAAGGAACGACUAUUUGCGCAAAUGCGGCCAUUUCCAAUCUCCCUUCCAAGGAUCCUGAAAUGGACCAAUAUGUUGUUUUACCAGUUUCAGCGAGACAGAAGGUUCAGUCUCCGGACAGCAAAAAACUCGCUGUAAGCCCCCAACUUGCUUGUGUGCAUAUUUUAGCACAUAUUCUGGCUUAUGGGAAAGCACCAUCUGAUUCGAGUUACAGUGAAGAGUUGUCGAAGAAAGGCACACCUGAAAAGGACAAUGGAAAAGAAAGUGAAGCAGGUUCUUUCGUGCGUCAGAUCAAUGAAUUCACUCCGCAAAGGUCUCAACAAAGCUUUCAUGGUUCGGUGAAUGGGCAAAAUGCAGAAGAGCUGCUUACCCCUAACGGAAGCAGUACUACAGGUCAGAAGAGACAAUAUGGGCCAAUAAUUAAUCAGAGGCUACAUGAGCAAUUUAAAUCAGAUCAAUAUCCUAGCCGUGCUGUUAAAGAAAGCUUGGCACAAGAACUAGGUCUGACAUUCCGUCAGGUUGAGAAAUGGUUUGAAAGUAGGCGGCGUCACAUAAGAGUAGCAUCCAAAAAAAGCAGCACUCACGUGGAAAACCAUAGCACCAAGGAGAAUCCUAAUGUAUGCAAAAGUGAUGCUGUGAAUGAGGAUACGCCAUCGGGAAUUCUGAAUGAAGGUAUCACACAAGAUGGUCCACUGAAACAAGACAUUGGUGGUGGGCUGAGAACAAAUGCCAGCCCUCUGAAUAGCAGUCAAAGAUAUACUACCCCCUUGGUAAGGCGCCCAAAAGGUGAGUCCAGAGAGAAUCAUAUGAAGAAUACCUCCUCAAGCAGUGCUAGCAGUCCAAAAGGUAGCGAUGCAGGGUAUGCAGUUCUGGCUCUUGAAGCUUUGGACGAGAAAACAAGAAGCAAAAUGCUGCAGGAGCUAAAGAAGAGGAAGAUUGGCUGA